rnacentral:lncRNA from 1 species
CUGGAUGCUUCCCCUUUGCUCUGGGUCCUUUCAUAGCUCUUUACUGCACAACAUUCAAAGAAAUGCAUGGGCCGACACAAAAUCCUUAUCUCUGAUUCAUUAUUUGGAGUAAUACUAACAAUCCAAUACGGUGUUCUUCCUUCAAGUUUACCCAAUGACUUUAAUGGUUUUGACCAGAAGUUGGCUUAAUUCUUUAGGUAUUCCUCAGAAUUUUCAGUAAGAACACACUUGAAAUGCAGGAAGCAGAGUGUUGUGGCCUUUGGAUGUGGCCCAAUUGAUACAGUAACCAGAUCUGCAGGUAUAUCCAAAUUGCUCGUGGGCACACAGCACGAGGGAGCUUGCACAUUUUUGAGAAUACUAAGAAAUCCAGAGAUCUGCGAGCACUUAACAUUGAUGGUGCCUUCCUGGAAAUGCUGGGCUUUGAAAGCACCUUAGAUGUCAGCAACUCUGACCCCUAAAACUCACAGACUUUGGGUGGUGUCAUGAGAUGGCAGGGGACAGGGAGUUUUAAUUCAACUGGAAGCAGAACAAGGAAGGGAAAUUUGAUGCUAUGCAGAAGUGACCUGCAGGUGUACAUAAAUUAUUGAUGAGGACUGCGUCUGAUGAAUUUGAGGGUAAAGGUGGAUUGGCCAGAGAUGAAUCAUAGACUUUCUCUCAGCUAGAGCACCCAGGGCCAGGACUCACAUUUUCCAGACGAAGACACAAAACACUACAGAAGUUAAGCAACUCACCCUGGGUCAAACCCAAGCUAAAGCCAGAGCCAAGAUGAUUCCUGGGACUGAAUCCUUUGCAUUGUCCAUUUCCUUCUGCCAAGCCAUCGCCAGGCCAUCUCUGGUUUUGUCUCAUGUGUUCUAUGCCAAAUGGCUUAAAUAUAGAAAGCAGAAGAUAUUGUUGACAAAUGCUUUUCCAGCAUCGGCAGCCACUUGCAUAUGGGGAUUUUUUGAAAGCUUUUCCAAUGUCCUCCAAAUGCAGUUGUGGAAUAUGCAAACCAAAUGCAUACUGCAUAUGGGCCAACCUAAUGCAUCUUGGAAAUAAGAUUUUAUUGUAUCCUUAAAACAGGUUUGGAAAAUUAAGUAAAGUUUUAUCCACAGAGAGAAAACGUAAUUGUUAACUGCUUCUCCAAACCUAAUUAUUUUUAUUUCUCAAGAUAAAGAUUAUGGCAUCACAGUGGGUUACUAAGAACUCGGCGAUUACAGCCUAAACUUCCCGGCUCCUGGUACAGUGCUCCCUUGAGCAGGCAGCAGGUGGAAAUGCCAGCAUCUGCUUGCCAUCCUGCCCUUGGAGUGCUAUCCUGCUGCUCUCCUGAAGCUGUUCUCCACGGUCCACAAGACUUUUAUUUCCUCAGCCCAGCUGGCUCUUUUCAGGCUUUGUUCUCUUCUGCCUCUCUAGGAUUGAAAAUGCCUCCCACUCACCCUCUCUUUUGUGCAAGCCUUUCUUCUCUUAGCUUCCAUGACUCCAAGGAUAGCAAACAGUUUUUCACUCAAGGGCCAAAUCUCGUUAAUUACUGCUCCUUCCUGGAGCAGAGCCUUGGGAAGGAUUGGCAGGCAAGUUCAAGCACUGUGGAGAAAAUCGUCAUGAUCGACUAGUGAUGUCUGCAGUGGUGGAGAAAGGAAGAGCGGUAUUUGGUGGACCUGGGGCAGCCCACAUCCAUUGACAAGUCAACAUGCGGCUAUAACGGCCUGUCCUCCAUCCUGGUCUCAAGUGGGUCAACUCUGAAGGGCUGGCCUAACUCCGGAGCUUCCUGUGGGAUCUUCUGAGGCUGUAAUUGCACUGCAGUUCAACAACUCUCUCCUGCUUCCUCUCUCCCUCACAGGUGUUUGUCUCAAGGGGAUUUCCCAAUAAACUUCCUGCAGACACGUUUUCACUUCAGGGUCUGUCUUCCAGGUAACCCUCCUAAGACAGCCCAUAAAGCUGCAUCAAUGAGUGAGGUACUGCUGUGGGCAGUUGAGGCUCCAUCCUGCUGGGGACCCUUUGAGAAACUGUGUAGACUGCAGCAUUGGCCCAUCAAGGAGCAAGGAAGCGGAGGUGUUUAUCCAACUACUCCUGUCCUUCAUUGGUCAAGGGCUGCUCUUGGGGCAGUAAUGCUCUGACACUUCCAGGCUGCCACAUAUGUGGCCAGGCACUCCUCCUUGGCCAGAGAAUGCUCUCAGGCAGAGAGGUGCAGGAAGCCAGCAGCUUGAGGGGAACUAUGUGCAGAAGAGCUCCAGGGCAGACCAAUGGGAUCUGGGCAGACAGCACCAACAGCGUCUGCUAUGAUUCCCCGCAUACAAACCCGUCCAUGACUCCCCAUUUCCUACCCCAGGGAUCCCAAGCUCAGAGUAGAGUCACGUCAUCCACUCCUGUGAUCUGUUAGCAAACAGCAUUUUUGACAUUUUUGAAUCUGAAUUCUUUAGACAGGACAAUCACACCCAAAAACUUCACACAUUCGCUUCUUAUCAGGCCUCCGAAGGCAUCUGAGAUCUGGACAUUUGGUCUAGAAAGUAAAGUCCAGACUUAUUUGGCAUCUUUCAUGACAUGUUAUCAAAGAAGAUUUCCAACCCUGUGUUCUUCUGGACAUUUUCUUCCACCCAAAUUUGUCUAUCUUGUGUGUGUGUGUAAAACAACGAAAAAUCUAGUCAUGCAGGUCUUUUCCAGAUACUUUGCACUGAGAAGAAGAUGGAACUCAAGCUUCCUGGUAAGGCACACGAGGGGUCCCACUAUCCGGCCAAUCCCUGGUCCAGCCUCAGCCCCACAGCUCUCCUCCAUGCCUCAUGUUCCAUCUACAUGAAAUGGCUGUGGGUCUUAAAACAUCCAGAUUCUCCCAAGUCUAUCUGCUUUUGUUUCUCUGUCUAAAAGGGUCCACCCCAUUUUCUCCACCUGGAAAACUCCUUGUCCUCCUUCAACGAUCAGCUCAAAUUCCACCUCCUUGGCACAGCCGAAGGGUGGCGGGCUUCCUCCUCUGUGCUCCUCGUUCCCAGUACAGAUUCUGUCCCAGCACAGAUCGCUGUGCUGUAUUCAUCUGUUUAGAAGCCUGUCUCCCCAACUAGACCAUGAACUCCUCAAAAGCAGGGGCAGACUGCUCUCAGCUCUGGGCUCCUCUUGAUUCUGGAGACGCUCCUGUCAGCUGUUAUGUGUUUGUAUAUCCAUCCCUGACUCUUGGUCUCUGUGGACACCUGGUUCAGGAUGACAAGGUGGAAGGCACCACCUGGAAUGCAUGAGUCCCUCUGGCUCAAGUCAACACUCAAGAACCUGAUGGACGCCUUCUCAGGAGACUGCCCCAACAUUCUGGUCCACUUAGAUCCAGAAGUUGUCAGUUGUUUGACUGCUAAGAGAGAGCAAAAAUAAAUGAG